GCGAAUGAUCCAUUAUUAUCAUUAUUAUGGUAAAUGGUACCAGUACGAUUGCCACUACCGUUAUUGUAAAAUAUUGACGUCCUUUUUAAAAGGUUCUCCAUAAAGAGCUCAUGUUUGGUGCAUUUUAAAGAAUUAUUGUUGUUUGAAAUUGAAAUGUACUAAAUUAUUUACACUGCCAAGUAUACACUUUACCAAUGUUGCAGACUAUGAAUUAUUGAUAAAUAGUAUCAAAAUGAAAGUCUAAUUGAAGGGUCGUAAAGUUGUAACUUAAAAUUCAAACAUAGUACCAGUAGUACAUGUAAAAAAAAAAUCAAAAAAAAUCUGGAAAAUGUCAAUAACAUAUUUCGGGUAGGGGAUAUUUGGUGGGAAUUUAGGUAAAGGGGAAACAAAAACUAUUUUAUUUUAUACCCAAUCCUGUUGGUUGCCUCAUCCUCUGUAUAUAAGAGACAUUUGAAUAGAAAUAUACCUAAUGUAGUGUACCCUUUACCUUAGGUAUAUCACAUACACUCGUACGUACGUGAUUAGCAGAUGUAAACAGGUUUAAGUGAUGCGUUGAUCACUGCCCACUCUCUAUUUAAUGUCGCGACACGCCUUGUUAAACCUUUCACAAGGUAAACGUGUGAUCGCACACCUAUUCAUAUUACCUAAAUGUGAACAUGUCAUCGAUGCGUCACAUCCGUCAGACUUAAAGCUUCCUGUAUAUAAUACUUUCUUUAUCUCGUUAUGUAUCGCCUGCGGACAUACUGACAGCAUUAGGGUUACAAAAGACGCAGGUUAAGAUCGAUAGUCUCGUUCAACCAGACCCUUGUUGUCUGCGCAAGCUACGCCGAACUUUCUUGUUUACAAAGUGAUCAAGCGUCUUAUUGAACGAGACUUAGGGUAAGAAGACUAUGGACCUCUGUUAUGGCCGCCAUCAUGAUCUCAUUGGGAAAUAUGGCCUCAGACCACAAAUACACUUCCGGGUCGUUGUGCACGUAUGCAGUGCAUAAGGACAUUUCAGAAACAACGUGAUGUCUAAUGACGCAGUGGUGAGGAUAUCCCUCAAUACAGACGAUAUCAUAUUUGCUGCACAAAAAAUUCUUGCGCAAACAACAAGUGAAUUCUUACCAACUCUCAUCGGAAUUACUACGUUAGUGUUUUUAGUGGUUGGAUUUGCGUCAUUCGUUGGGACCUGUUUGAGCCUGUGCGUGUUCGGUAAAUUUAAAUGCUGUUAUCGUUGUAGACGUUCGAGAUACCAUCAUGAUGACGACGACGACGACUUUGUUGACUGUCCAGACCCAGCCGGUAAGCCAUUGCGCAAUGGCAAUGCAUUCCCACAGAACGAAACAUUUUUAUAAAACAAUUCACUCUUUUCUACAAAACAAAACAUCACUAAUGAUGUGGCUAUUAUAUGUUAUUGUGUCCAUCAAGUAAAAAAGGACAAACAAUAUUUUAUUGGUUUGAAAUUUGUGUUCUCUCGGUAGUACAACUAAUUGGUGAUCGGAUGGCGGAAUGGAUAACGCACCAAGGUGACCAGGUUUCGAAUCCCUCGAUUGGAUGUGAAAACUUAUGCUGUCACCUGCCCGACCAUGUGGGUACUCCGGUUCCUCUUACGUUAAGAGGUCCCACUCAUCCCAAUCCUAUAUGGCUAUAUUUUAGUAAAAUGAGAAAUUAACAACAGAAAAGAUAUAUUUAUUUCGUAUAUAAGGUUUUGUUACAGUUAGAGUACCGAUAAUGUCAAGUCAAGAAAAACGACAAGCAAAUCGAAAUUGAAACUCUUCUUUGUUGGAGGUACGACACAAGGGUGGGUGGCUUUGUCUACCUUAAUUCCGAAAUCGGAAAGAGUAUAAGGAAUACAUGGGAAGGACAAUACCAUUGAUUUAAAAAUCACAGCGUAGCCGCUUUAUGUCAUAUUGUGAUUUUGACAAGAGUGUUCUGUCAGAAUCAAAGACAGGACGAAAUAAGUGGUUUUUAUCAUGGACUGGAAAUUUAAAAUCUUCGACAGAAUUGUAACUCGGCACAUUAUUCGUGUCCGUUGAAUAAUCCGCCGACUUGUAACAAAACAAAAUCCGGGUAAACAAGGAUGACCGUGAUAUAUUCUAGACCAGAAACAACUCCUGUACUUUGUAAAGAAAGAAAUGAAAUACUGCAAUAUAUCUUUAAAUCUCAUUUCUCAAAUUGGCACAAAACACUAGACAACAAUUUAUCGCACCUCAGUCAGGGAUAUUCCAUGCGAUGACAUUUUUUUCUAUCCGAGUGGCUUUGGACACUCGGGUGGUAAUAGCGACGACCUUUUUCUAUUUCGUCCGAUCUGUUUGGCGCGGAAUAUUCACAUUUUGCAUUAUUAAAAUUAUAUUUUGUCGUAA